AUUGAACGCUGGCGGCAUGCUUUACACAUGUAAGUCGAACGGCAGCGCGGGCUUCGGCCUGGCGGCGAGUGGCGAACGGGUGAGUAAUACAUCGGAACGUGCCCAGUAGUGGGGGAUAGCUCGGCGAAAGCCGGAUUAAUACCGCAUACGACCUGAGGGUGAAAGCGGGGGAUCUUCGGACCUCGCGCUAUUGGAGCGGCCGAUGGCAGAUUAGCUAGUUGGUGGGGUAAAGGCCUACCAAGGCGACGAUCUGUAGCUGGUCUGAGAGGACGACCAGCCACACUGGGACUGAGACACGGCCCAGACUCCUACGGGAGGCAGCAGUGGGGAAUUUUGGACAAUGGGCGAAAGCCUGAUCCAGCAAUGCCGCGUGUGUGAUGAAGGCCUUCGGGUUGUAAAGCACUUUUGGCGGGAACGAAAAGGACUGUGCCAAUACCACGGUUCGAUGACGGUACCCGCAGAAUAAGCACCGGCUAACUACGUG
rnacentral:rRNA from 1 species